rnacentral:lncRNA from 1 species
AUCAUCCUAAAUGUAUGAACUAAUGUUUAGGAGUUUGCAGUUCACCCGCAAACCUCAGCGAUCCAAGCUCCCCUGGAUGACCAUCACUCACCUAGAAAAGAACAAUAACAGGACCUGUUUUGCUAAUCCAGGACUGUUCUCCAGCACUAACUCUAAAUAAUCCCUUCUGUUAGAGUCCACUUUCUGGAACCUGUUGCCUCCGUUUUCAACGUUUCCCAAACUUGGUCCGUUGUGUGAGUUGGCUGUUAAAAGUUCCAGUCAGUAAAUUGCAGAUGUAAGAUUCAAAACGAGACUUCACAUCUACCGACUUCAGUGAUCCUGAAAUUUGUCCACAGAGAGCAUUUAACAUAACUGUCUUCAUCAUCUCCUUCUCUAAUUAAAAACUAUGGAAAAUACAGGGAGGUGUGGUGUACCCAUUAUCACAAGCAGAUGGAAUCCCUAUAGAGUCAGAUCUCAUCUACAUAUCACCUAUUAUAUGUAGUUAUUGAUGGAUAAAUACUUCAACAACUAAAGGCAGAAAGAGAGCAGUUCACAAAGACAUUAUUGGUGAUUCAAUCUUGAGUCAUGAAAAGCCAACCUUGAGCCACAAAAAGUCAACCUUGAGCCAAGCAGAGUGGAGAGUCAUACUGGCCAUUCCUGGGACCAUCAAAAAUGGCAGAGGUCACACAAAAGGCAAAACCUUUAAGAGGUGUUUUAAACAUCGUAUGGGCCAAAGAGAAUCUGGAUUUCCUAUUGCAGUCAGCUGUAACACACGUGUGACAAAUUGGGCUGUGAGGACAAGGCAGUGAGUAGAGACGACAGCAGUCCUUAUGAGAUCAAGCUCUAAGUUUUGAGAAGAAUGCAAAGAAGAAGGGAAGAGUGAGCCUCUCUUUUCCCAUCGUUACCCUCCAUUGUCCUCUUGACACCCUGCUUUUGCAGACAGAGAGUUUGAGACCCUCUCCCAGGAGCCAAGGAGAGGGGAACAGCUGGCUUCACAUCAUCUUUCUAUUCAACAAGACACAAAAAGCUGAAGCCAGGAUGAUAGAAAA